GCCAGCAUCAGCUAAGCAAAAGUGGGGUUGUGAUGGUGGUGCAAACGUGGAUGUGUUCAACCCUCAGUUCCUGAAGCUUUUUUACUCUGUUUGUUUUGUUGUAUUUAAAAGAGUGCUUUGUAGCCUUGUCUCAAGUUUAACCACCAGGAUCGGAUCCACUCAUUUCUUCCUUUGGACUACACAUCUCAGUUAGUCUCCGCUGUUUCUUCAUGGCCUUUCUCUGCUGGAUAUCUGUUGGCUGAUUGGAUUGUCUGACAGACUACAACUUACUUGCAUACGAUGGAUACCGUUCCCCUACCCGUGGUGUUGGUUGAGGCUGCAAUGGGAGGAGGAUGCAUCAACAACCUAGAAAGAUAAGCAAUCAGCUACAAUGCAAGAAGACAGAUUAAGGCCUUCAAUCAGACUGAGGACAGAGAAAUAUGUGCGUACCUGGUUAAGGUUUCUUGCAUGCAUGGCUUUGUUAACAAUAAUUAAUUUUGGAAAAUAAUAUGAAUUCCCAUACUAGGCAUAAAUACAUUUUAUGUUGCAUUUCUUCCACCCAAGCCUUGUACACCUGAGUCAGGAAGAAGAGACAACUAGUAUUUUACAUUUAGCAGAUGCUCUUAUCCAGAACAAUUUACAGUAGUGAGUGCAUACAUUUUCAUACUGGUCCCCCGUGGAAAUCAAACCCACAUCCCUGGCAAUGCAAGAGACAUGCUCUAGCAACUGAGCCACACAGGACAACUAAACUUAGCAAAAAAAGAAACGUCCUCUCACUGUCAACUGUGUUUAUUUUCAGCAAACUUAACAUGUGUAAAUAUUUGUAUGAACAUAACAAGAUUCAACAACUGAGACAUAAACUGAACAAGUUCCACAGACAUGUGACUAACAGAAAUUGAAUAAUGUGUCCCUGAACAAAGGGGGGGUCAAA